CCUACGGGAGGCAGCAGUGAGGAAUAUUGGUCAAUGGGCGGAAGCCUGAACCAGCCAAGUAGCGUGCGGGAUGAAGGCCCUACGGGUCGUAAACCGCUUUUGCACGGGGAUAACACCCUCCACUUGUGGAGGUCUGCAGGUACCGUGCGAAUAAGGGCCGGCUAAUUCCGUGCCAGCAGCCGCGGUAAUACGGAAGGCCCGAGCGUUAUCCGGAUUCAUUGGGCUUAAAGGGAGCGUAGGCGGGCGUUCAAGUCAGCUGUAAAAGCGCGCGGCUCAACCGCGCCCCGCAGUUGAAACUGGACGCCUUGAGUGCACAACAGGCAGGCGGAAUUCGUGGUGUAGCGGUGAAAUGCAUAGAUAUCACGAGGAACCCCGAUUGCGAAGGCAGCCUGCCGGGGUGCGACUGACGCUGAGGCUCGAAGGUGCGGGUAUCAAACAGGAUUAGAUACCCCAGUAGUC
rnacentral:rRNA from 1 species